GGUCUGGUGGUCUAGUGGUAUGAUUCUCGCUUAGGGUUCACCUUAAAGUAUGAAAGCUUGGCUUGCGAGAGGUCCCGGGUUCAAUCCCCGGCCAGACCC